AUUGAACGCUGGCGGCAGGCCUAACACAUGCAAGUCGAACGAGUGGCGGACGGGUGAGUAAUGUCUGGGAACCUGCCCGAUGGAGGGGGAUAACUACUGGAAACGGUAGCUAAUACCGCAUAUAAUCUGAUGUGCCCAGCUGGGAUUAGCUAGUAGGUGGGGUAACGGCUCACCUAGGCGACGAUCCCUAGCUGGUCUGAGAGGAUGACCAGCCACACUGGAACUGAGACACGGUCCAGACUCCUACGGGAGGCAGCAGUGGGGAAUAUUGCACAAUGGGCGCAAGCCUGAUGCAGCCAUGCCGCGUGUAUGAAGAAGGCCUUCGGGUUGUAAAGUACUUUCAGCGAGGAGGCGUUACUCGCAGAAGAAGCACCGGCUAACUCCGUGCCAGCAGCCGCGGUAAUAC
rnacentral:rRNA from 1 species